rnacentral:pre_miRNA from 1 species
AAUGAAAUUGCUGAGUUAUAUGGUAACUCAAUAUUUAACUUUUUGAGGAACUGCCAAAAUAUUCUCCAUAGUGACUGCACCAUUUUACAUUCCCACCAACAAU